GACGAACGCUGGCGGCGUGCCUAAUACAUGCAAGUAGAACGCACAGUUUAUACCGUAGCUUGCUACACCAUAGACUGUGAGUUGCGAACGGGUGAGUAACGCGUAGGUAACCUGCCUGGUAGCGGGGGAUAACUAUUGGAAACGAUAGCUAAUACCGCAUAAUAUUAAUUAUUGCAUGAUAAUUAAUUGAAAGGUGCAUUUGCACCACUACCAGAUGGACCUGCGUUGUAUUAGCUAGUAGGUGAGGUAACGGCUCACCUAGGGGACGAUACAUAGCCGACCUGAGAGGGUGAUCGGCCCCACUGGGACUGAGACACGGCCCAGACUCCUACGGGAGGCAGCAGUAGGGAAUCUUCGGCAAUGGACGAAAGUCUGACCGAGCAACGCCGCGUGAGUGAAGAAGGUUUUCGGAUCGUAAAGCUCUGUUGUAAGAGAAGAACGGGUGUGAGAGUGGAAAGUUCACACUGCGACGGUAUCUUACCAGAAAGGGACGGCUAACUACGUG
rnacentral:rRNA from 1 species